rnacentral:rRNA from 1 species
UACGAAGGGGGCUAGCGUUGUUCGGAAUUACUGGGCGUAAAGCGCGUGUAGGCGGGUCUUUAAGUCCGGGGUGAAGUGCCAAGGUUCAACCUUGGAACUGCCUUUGAUACUGGAGAUCUUGAGUCCGGGAGAGGUGAGUGGAAUUGCGAGUGUAGAGGUGAAAUUCGUAGAUAUUCGCAAGAACACCAGUGGCGAAGGCGGCUCACUGGCCCGGUACUGACGCUGAGGUGCGAAAGCGUGGGGAGCAAACAGG